GGAUUAGAUACCCUGGUAGUCCUGGCAGUAAACGGUGUAUACUUGGUGUGGGGGAAUUCGACCUCUUCCGCGCCGGAGCUAACGCGUUAAGUAUACCGCCUGGGAAGUACGGUCGCAAGAUUAAAACUCAAAGAAAUUGACGGGGACCCGCACAAGCGGUGGAGUAUGUGGCUUAAUUCGAUGCAACGCGAAGAACCUUACCUGGUCUUGACAUGCACUGUGUCUCCGGUGAAAGCCGGAUAGAGUAGCAAUACUCGCUUUGCACAGGUGCUGCAUGGCUGUCGUCAGCUCGUGCCG
rnacentral:rRNA from 1 species